rnacentral:tRNA from 1 species
UUUUGUUGAUGUAGUUUGACUGUUCUUAUAUGUAAGAAUUUAUUGAUGAGGCUCAUUUCAGAAUA